UGCACAGUUUCUCUAAGCACACAAUUGUCU
rnacentral:piRNA from 1 species